ensembl:lncRNA
AAAGUUUUCGUUGCGUUAUAGGGACACUGUCUCUUUAAGAUCACCUGACUUGUGUGUUGAUAUGUUGGUCGGCGCGAUGUUUGAAUUUAACGUUUUUUAUGACAAAAUGAACGACCUGCCGUUGCUUGUCGAGGAUCCCUGAUUCAUGCUAAAAGAAACAGCAGGAGCCGCAGUGUAUGGGCCAUUCGGGAAGGGAAAAACAGACAAGCCAAGAAAAUCUGUCACAUUUCAUAACUCAGCUAAGCUGGAUAUCGUAAAUCGCACAUCGUAAUGUUUUCCCAGCACGCUACAAAAAGGCAAAAUAUAUUCUUCAAAUCCAAACACACACACAUUGCCAUGCUUACGCUCACACACACACACACACACACACGUACACGCACGAAAAAACACACACGCAAGCGCGCGCACACGCACAGCCUCAUUCUCACUCUCACAUCCGGUUAUCCAUCAAGGCCUCAACGAGCUGAAGGAUCGGGGGAGUGGGAC